rnacentral:rRNA from 1 species
CGGCCUAAUACAUGCAGUCGAGCGAAUGAUGAGGAGCUUGCUCCUCUGAUUUAGCGGCGGACGGGUGAGUAACACGUGGGUAAUCUGCCUGUAAGACGGGGAUAACUCCGGGAAACCGGGGCUAAUACCGGAUAAUAAAAAGAAACGCAUGUUUCUUUUUUGAAAGUCGGUUUCGGCUGACACUUACAGAUGAGCCCGCGGCGCAUUAGCUAGUUGGUGAGGUAACGGCUCACCAAGGCGACGAUGCGUAGCCGACCUGAGAGGGUGAUCGGCCACACUGGGACUGAGACACGGCCCAGACUCCUACGGGAGGCAGCAGUAGGGAAUCUUCGGCAAUGGGCGAAAGCCUGACCGAGCAACGCCGCGUGAGCGAUGAAGGCCUUCGGGUCGUAAAGCUCUGUUGUUAGAGAAGAACAAGUACGAGAGUAACUGCUCGUACCUUGACGGGACCUAACCAGAAAGCCACGGCUAACUACGUGCCAGCAGCCGCGGUAAUACGUAUGUGGUAAGCGUUAUCCGGAAUUAUUGGGCGUAAAGCGCGCGCAGGCGGCCUCUUAAUUCUGAUGUGAAAGCCCACGGCUCAACCGUGGAGGGGUUUUGGAAACUGGGAGACUUGAUUGCAGGAGAGAAAUCCGCAA